rnacentral:siRNA from 1 species
GGCCUGUUCGUUUAUUAAUCGCUA